AAUGUUUGAGAUUUAAAGUUAAAUGAUAAAGUUAUGUGACCAGAAAAAUAUAAACUGAGGGCCUCAGCAUAUAACAUCACCAAUCCAUACAUACAUUUAAAUUAUUAUAAUCAUUUAUUUCGUUCGGGUACGGGGGAUUUAAAGUGAUCACACAUUGAGCUGUAUACAUUCUUGUUGAAAAAUUUAAACUUUAAAUUUCACUGUUUACAUAAAAUUUUCAAAUAAUUCUGCUUUGUUGUACACAUACUCGCCUACGUAAGAAAGGAUAGGCGUCGAAUUAUUUUUACGUAACGAUCUUAAAAAACUUUAGCAAAUAUUUUAGUAUUGUUUCUGUAAACACUUGCACGUUUUCAAUAGUGAAAUGUUCAGACUCCGUAUCCAGUUUGGGGUAAAAUCAAGUUCCAGAAAAAAAAACCUUAAAUAAAGUGCUCAUCAUUUUGUUUGUGUGUUUUGUGUGUACAUGUAUAACCAAAUAACGUUGACCACAUUAAAUAUAAUGAUAAGAAGAUAGUAUAUGAUUGCCAAUGACACACAAUAGUUCAAAUGAGUUAAUGUAAUCAAAUGGAGACAACCGCUUCAUUCGACAAUGACAAAACCCCAUAAUUCAACGUAUAGUCGACUAUAAAAGCCUGAUUGGUCUAUAAACGACCAUGUUUCCGUUUUAAAGGCAAGGCCGUUUUAAUAAAAACAUGUACAUUUUUAUUUAAACGUGUUCACAGUCAGAAAUACAGGGAAACACUAUCAGCAGCCAGCAACAGUUUGAAUUUGUUGCGUCAGUUGUAAAACAUAAAAAUCAAUUAUCCAUUCAUUCAAAAUCAAUCAUAUGAAGUAUUCUUUAUAGAAUAUCUACUAUUAUCACUAUUUUGCGCAUUUUUCCUUUGAUCUUUUUUUUAAUAAUUUUUCAUAGGAUGCACGUGGCAUUGCUAAUCAAAUUGACAUGUCGUCAUAGGUAAAAUAGCGAUAAACAGAUUAUCAUUUAAUCCGAAUAAUUCAGUACCUCCCCGUAAUCGAUAUCUCCUACUUUAAUGUAGUAAGCGGAAUAUAACGACUGAAUUAUUCGGGUUAAUUAUCAUUGGUCAACUCAACUCGAUUGCUUUUCUCGCUUUCGGCGUACCGGCUCAAGCGAGAAAAUCAAUCUCGUUCAGAUGAUAAACGAUAAUCUAUAAUUUUUGUCCAAUCUUAUAUAAUAUUAAUCGGAUUUAGGUCCUCGUGUCAAACUUCGUUAACUAGCUAUAAUUGCUUCAAUUGUUUGACUUCGAGGAGUAUCAAAAGACUGUCUUUCGCACCUUUUACUGACAUCGGAUUAACUGGCAAAUCGUUGAAAUCAAUAACCGAAUUCGGUAUUGAAAUAUAAACACGUACACGUUUAAAAUAAAUAAAUAUACAACUCAAAACCAUAGUUAUGUAAAUAUUAAGCACUGGUUAUCAUUGCUAGUUCGACAUCACAACCAUCCAUUGCCUUCGACUUAUGUUGUAAAACAUACCUAUUGUAUCGAUUAUGAAACAGGCUCACUUAGUUAACACGGAUUGGCAUUAUAUACUUGUAAAUAUCUUUCGCAGAUAGACGUAAUUAAAAACAAUAUAUAAAUUUUAUGAUGAGCAACUCCCACAAUAAUGUUCAGUCAGAUCUCAAGCCGAUAGCUACAUUCAUAAUAUAACUGACGCUGUAAAUACAAGUUGUAACGUCAAGUACAUUUCCCCCUUGUAUAUAAAACGAAGGAAGAGUCUCAUAUCCGUUGUUGUUAUGUGGUUUACAUGUUAUAAUGUACGUUUAAUAUUAUUUAUUUAUUUAUAUAUUUCUUUGUACUAGAUGUUCUUGCGUUUGUUUGUGUUUUUUUAACAUUGCCAUAUAAGCAGGAAGUUUUGCUAGCCGUUGUUUUCCUCUAAUGGUUGAUGUUACUGUGUGCUCUCGGUUUUAGUUUGUAACCCGUAUUUGUUUCCUCUUAAUUGAUUUAUGACUUUUGGACAGAGGUUUACUACUGUUGACUUUUUGUAUAAAAUAGUUAACUUGUUUUUGUUACAAACCGGCAUGAAAUGUUUGCCAUUAAUUGGACUACUACUGUACGGUAUUAUGUUUGAUCAUUGUUGAAGGUCGUACGGUGACUAACAAUUGCUUCAAUUGACGUUAUUUAGAUUCUCUUGGAUAGUUCAAUCAAUAGCAAUAAUACCUCUUAUCCUUAUUGUAUACUUAUGUUUAAAAUAAGAAUAAAAUAAAUAUUUCCCCCCGCAAAAAGGCCUAUUUCUGGAAUAUUGGUAAAGGGAUAAUCUGGCUACAUGACUUUAAGAGUUACUAGUUAAACAUUUUAUAAACGGACACACAUCUGCUUCACUUGAUUAUAUAAUGCUGAAAUAACCCCAGGGCCGCUUCCAUCAACUCUACUGUGAAACCACGAACAUAAUUUCCCUUUUAGGUAUUUCAAUUAAAAAAUAUAGUCCAUGUUAUUGUUUAUCUUACAACAUCUUUGCCGCAAGGCCAUUUUGAUUACACACCGAGUGUUGUGUUUGUGGUGUUAUGGAUAUAGUCUUUAUAUGUACAGAACGGGUUUGAUAUGUAAACAUAUUCACAUAAACAAAUAAAACGGAUAUAAUAUAUAGAUUUUAGCUUAUUUUGGAUUGACUUGAAAUAACGUAUGAAACCAUAUAUGAGAAUGGUAACAGAUCGACAAAGGUGAUGAUGCAUAAAUUAAUAUUAUCGGUAAUCCAUUUUCUCCGUCACGACCCUACUUUUACAGAAGUUUGAUAAACAAUUACAAAAGGAUCACUCAACCAGGCAAUCUUGACUAACUAGAUGGUCAUAUUUCAUUUAAACUCUUCCUUAGUAUUUUCCCUUAUUCGGGUUCACUGGUUCCUUAAUCACUCCGGGCGGUUCUGUUUAAACUAUUGUCAUUUUGUUUUCUCAGUCAUAUAAUAAAUAAAGAAAGUAAUUAUAAAGUAUAAUUGCACAAUGUAAUAUUUCCAAUAGUGAAAGGGCGUGUCAAAAGUUAGGGCCUGAUCUAGUCUAGCGGGUUUUUUUUUUUUUUUUUUUAAAGAAAACAGCCGUAAAAGUAAGAAUUGAAUAAAAGAUAGAACAAAUCAAAAGAAACUUACCAGGAAAAUAGUGUUAACUAUAACCAGUAUAACUUUGGCAACUGACGCACCACAUCCCAAAGUCAUUAUUGCAGGUUUAAUAAACUGUCACUUAAAAAAAGUUUGAAAAUCCUCCUGUUAGGUUUAUAUUAAUUUAAUGAAGUUUAAUUCACUCUCGACUACACCGCAGGUAAAUCUACAACUGAGAAUAUUUAUUACCUGUACGGUACGGUUUAUAGUCAAUACUAUCGUAAUUGUCACGUGACCCGGUCUAUUUUGAAAUAGACCAGUUACAUCAUCGUUUUGUCCAGACCUUUCAUGAAUGAAAUGACGUAAAUUGAGAUAUUUAUAUACAAAAAUAGAAAGGAACACCUCCUUAAGAAUAUGAAUAAGAAUGAAUCAUUGUAUUUUUUAAAGGUAAAAACAUAAUUUCAAAUGAAUAACAAAGUGUACGAG
rnacentral:lncRNA from 1 species